rnacentral:lncRNA from 1 species
CUGAUUAUUAAGUAGUAUUAUCCAUUCCAGGCUUAACCACAAGCUGUUCAUAUUCAUAAUAGAGUUAUUAAUAGAAUACAUGACUAGGCCAGAUCUCUUAAGGAAAUAUUUCAAGCUAUGGGAUCUAAAUUCAGUUCUGAGUCCACUAAAGCCUUGGUCACACGAUGCAAUUUUUCACUGCAUGCACGACUGCAAUAGCAAUAGGUCUUCCAACAAACUGGUAAACUUACCACUACUUAGUACUCUUACUGAGUGGAAAGUGGCAUCAUUUGUUGACCAAAAAAAACUGGUAAACCUCCUCCAAAUAGCAUGUGACUUCAACCAUACUUGAAAACAAGAGUUUGCUUUCCUGGCAAUGGUUGCAAAGCUUGUAAUCAAUGAAAAGCAAGAAAAUUUUCGAUGCAUGAAAGAUGGAUAGUUGAUUUUAUUGUGCUCUCAUCAACUGAUUAUCCAUUGCAUUGCAAGCUACAUUUCCCAAUAUGAUCACUAUUUGGUGAUUACAACUCGUUGCCAUUGCUGUUGCAGUUGCACACGUGGCGAAAAAUUGCA